AGGCGCGAAACCUUUGCCAUGCGCGAAAGCGUGACAGGGGAAUUCCGAGUGGUAGGGGGGUUUACCUCCCUAUCUUUUGGCCAAUCCAAACAAUUGGCAGAAUAAGAUCUGGGUAAGACCAGUGCCAGCCGCCGCGGUAAUACUGGCAGAGCAAGUGGUAUCCACGAAUAUUGGGUCUAAAGAGUCCGUAGCGGGCCUGUUAAGUCCACUGUGAAAUCUGGCGGCUCAACCGUCAGGCGUGCAGUGGAUACUGGCAGGCUUGGGAGUGGGGGAGGUCGGGAGUACUCACGGGGUAACGGUAAAAUGUUGUAAUCCUGUGAGGACUACCAGUGGCGAAGGCGCCCGACCAAAACACGUCCGACCGUGAGGGACGAAGGCUAGGAGAACGAAUCGGAUUAGAUACCCGAGUAGCCCUAGCAGUAAAUUAUGCAGACUGUGGUGUUGCGUCGACUUCGAGUCGGCGCAGUGCUGUAGCGUAGGUGUUAAGUCUGCCACCUGGGGAGUACGGCCGCAAGGUUGAAACUUAAAGGAAUUGGCGGGGGAGCA
rnacentral:rRNA from 1 species